UCCAGCCUCCGGCCGCCGCCGGGACGCGCACGCCCUGCGGCCUCCCGCUGGGCCUGCAUUGCUCUCUCCCUCAGCCCCGAAACCUAGGUCGUCUUCUCCACCUCGGCUCCGGAUCCGCCCUCUCCCUCACCGGAUCUACGCCUCCCUUGGAUGGAUCUGCAUCGACGCAUCGUUCUUCCGGUUUGUCGUGGUCCCUGUUUUCAUCGCCUGCGACGACCACGUCCACGCCCUCCGCGUUGUCUGCUUCCUCUUCCCUGGAGACGACCUCCGCCUCGGCUCCGCCGUAGGGCUCCCCGUCGCCGCCCUCCUCCGGGGGAGGGGGCAGGUCGACCUCUACCUCGAAAUCCGAGGGCGGGAGGUCGCCGUCAGGCCACUCUCCGCCCAUGUCCUCGCUCCUUGCCCCGCCGCCGCACCCCAUUCGAGCACUCAGCCAUCCGCUCCCACCACACCAACCCCUCCUCCAUCGAUGCUCCUACAGCCAGCGAGCUUCUGAAUUCCAAUUGGUGCUAGCAGCAAGCCAGCAUCGCCAUGAGGUCAUUGCCGUGUACUGCUGCUGCAUCAUCGAGCCGGCCGCUGUGCUGCAGCAUAGGAGCCGCUUCGUCCAUGGUGACUUCCGUAAUUAGUUUAUUUUUUCAGGCUAUGAACAAGAGCUAUCUGAUGUGCUGCUGAUUUGAAAGAAGCCUAAGGUUGAGGGUACACUUCUGAGUGGAUCAUGUUUUGGAUAAGAAAAAGCUUCAGAGCCAAGCAAAGAGCCAGGUUGCUUCUUGCUGUGUGCAUUGCUUGAGAGAGAAGAUAGCAGAAAUGAGCUUCUCCAUCAGAACAGGAAGAGCUGAGAAGGAAAUUUGAUUCCUGCUAUACAAGGUUUCCUAAACUGUCAAGGUUGUGACACCCAAAAUUCACAAUUGAGCAACGACGACGACGAGGGAGGCAGCUAACAGUCGAAGCGGACGACGACGAGGGAGGCAGCUAACAGUCGAAGCGGACGCGGGUGGCCGGUGGUGAUUACAAAUUUACAAUGCAUUGCAUCCUCUACAGGUCACGCGAUGGCUUGAGUUAUUUGUGGCAGUACCUAAUCAGUUGAAGAUCCAAACUGGCACAUUCUGAUUGCCACUACACCCGUUGCAAAGGUUUUCUGAUGUAGCACUUGCUGGAGCAUAUGUACUGUGUAGUUGCCAAGCUUAUUAUUUAAUAUCUAAGAGUACUAACAUUUAGCUUUACGUUCUGCAUAGGUGUUCCCAAUAAUAUCCCUACAAGGCAGAUAUACUAUCUAUUAUUAUCUAUAAGAAUCAUUUCAAUGAAUAAAACAAGGAAGUGAGGAAGAAAUAAAUUUGAUCUUUUUUUUUGAAACUUUCUUAUCGAAGAGAAAUUCUGAACUCUAUAAUGUGAGAUGACAGGAUCUAUACAUGUGGCUAUUACAUUGUUUUUUUGGUUUCUGCAUAUUUUUUCCAUGCAUGUGAUGUUAGUUCCAGUUAAAUAUUGUGCAUAGACUUAUUCAGUUUCUUAUUUGUCUACAAUGCGUCAAACAAUGAGCUCGUGAGGACUCAGACCAUUGUGAAGAGCGCCAUUGUACAAGUUGAUACUGCCCCAUUCAAGCAGUGGUACCUAACACACUAUGGAGUGGACAUCGGUAGGAAGAAGGCACCUGCCGCCAAGAAGGAUGCUCCUUAGAGGGCGAGGCUGCAGCUGAGGAAGCAAAGAAGAGCAACCACGUCCAGAGCAAGCUUGAGAAGCAUCAGCAGGGACGCACACUUGACCCCCACAUUGAAGAGCUGGUGGCGUGCAUUUCUUCCCGCCCUGGGAAGUGUGGCAGAGCUGGUGGGUAUGUAAUAUCAGAAUUCCGUUUGUCUUUCUUAGAACUUUUACCUGUCUGUAUACUCGACAUCAAUAUUGCAGCAUAAAAAGGAAUGUUUGUUUGUAGCAUAUUAGAGAAGUAUCUCCCAAUUGAUUUACCUGAGAACAAGUUUGCACUUUAAAUC